rnacentral:rRNA from 1 species
AGAGUUUGAUUAUGGCUCAGGAUGAACGCUAGCGGCAGGCCUAACACAUGCAAGUCGAGGGGCAGCACGUAAAGUAUUUCGGUACUUUUGGUGGCGACCGGCGCACGGGUGAGUAACGCGUAUGCAACCUACCUUUAACAGGGGAAUAACGCUGGGAAACUGGCACUAAUACCCCAUAACAUCAGAUGAGGCAUCUUAUUUGGUUAAAAACUCCGGUGGUUAAAGAUGGGCAUGCGUUGUAUUAGGUAGUUGGUGAGGUAACGGCUCACCAAGCCUACGAUACGUAGGGGGACUGAGAGGUUAGCCCCCCACACUGGUACUGAGACACGGACCAGACUCCUACGGGAGGCAGCAGUGAGGAAUAUUGGUCAAUGGGCGCAAGCCUGAACCAGCCAUGCCGCGUGCAGGAAGACGGCUCUAUGAGUUGUAAACUGCUUUUAUAUAGGGAUAAACCCGGUUACGUGUAAUCGGUUGAAGGUACUAUAUGAAUAAGGACCGGCUAACUCCGUGCCAGCAGCCGCGGUAAUACGGAGGGUCCAAGCGUUAUCCGGAUUUAUUGGGUUUAAAGGGUGCGUAGGCGGCAUAGUAAGUUAGAGGUGAAAUCUGGUGGCUCAACCACCAAACUGCCUCUAAUACUGCUAAGCUAGAGAUUAGGUGCGGUAGGCGGAAUGUGUGGUGUAGCGGUGAAAUGCUUAGAGAUCACACAGAACCCCGAUUGCGAAGGCAGCUUACCAAUCUACUUCUGACGUUGAGGCACGAAAGCGUGGGGAGCAAACAGGAUUAGAUACCCUGGUAGUCCACGCAGUAAACGAUGAUAGCUCGUUGUCGGCGAUACACAGUCGGUGACUUAGCGAAAGCGUUAAGCUAUCCACCUGGGGAGUACGUUCGCAAGAAUGAAACUCAAAGGAAUUGACGGGGGCCCGCACAAGCGGAGGAACAUGUGGUUUAAUUCGAUGAUACGCGAGGAACCUUACCCGGGCUUGAAAGUUAGUGACGGAUGUGGAAACAUAUCUUCCCUUCGGGC